GACGUAGGGCGCAAGCGUUGUCCGGAUUUAUUGGGCGUAAAGAGCUCGUAGGCGGUUUGUCGCGUCGAAUGUGAAAACCCGGGGCUCAACUCCGGGCCUGCAUUCGAUACGGGCAGACUAGAGUUCGGUAGGGGAGACUGGAAUUCCUGGUGUAGCGGUGAAAUGCGCAGAUAUCAGGAGGAACACCGGUGGCGAAGGCGGGUCUCUGGGCCGAUGACUGACGCUGAGGAGCGAAAGCGUGGGGAGCGAACAGGA
rnacentral:rRNA from 1 species